AAAAAUAGUCUUUUAGGUCAACAUUUUUAGGUUUCUCUCUUUGCAUUUGCAUAUAGCCAUAUUGGAGAGAGUGUUGUAUAUUGAAGUUUUUGGUAUAUCUACGUCUUAAAAGACCAUUACUUAAAAAAACAUGCAUGUCAUUAUUAAUGUUACCAAUUUAUCAUAAAGCACAAAAAGAUCAUAUCAUGUAGACCAAAAAAUAUAAUAAUAACAAAAGACUAAGUUAAAAUUACUAAACUAAGAAAGGUUAAAUAGCAAACAACUAUGUUGCAAUACACGAAAAUUUCUAGUUGUUAUCAAGUAAUGACUAUUAAAAAAAUAGCAAAAAAGGAAAAGUAAAAUGAAAGUAAUUUUGAUUUUUUAUAUUUUUUUCUUUUAAAUGAAGAUAUUUAGUUAAGAGUGGGAUUAAUGUAUGAUUCAAUUCAAUGUAAAACUUUAAAUUUUUUAUCAUUAAGUUUUAUUAUUUUUUAAUGAUAUUAAUUUAGAAUGACAUGUGGCACUUACUGGUGUGUUGAUGUGUCAUUCAUAUGCAGAUAAUUGGCCAACUUUCAUAUAAUUUUUCUAAGCCAGUAAUGAAAACAU
rnacentral:sRNA from 1 species